rnacentral:tRNA from 1 species
CGGGAUGUAGCGCAGUUGGUAGCGCGCUUCGUUCGGGACGAAGAGGUCGAGAGUUCAAAUCUCUCCAUCCCGACAA